rnacentral:rRNA from 1 species
UAGUGGCAGACGGGUGAGUAAUAUAUAGGAAUCUACCUAGUAGUACGGAAUAAUUGUUGGAAACGGCAACUAAUACCGUAUAUGCCCUACGGGGGAAAAAUUUAUUGCUAUUAGAUGAGCCUAUAUUAGAUUAGCUAGUUGGUGGAGUAAUAGCCUACCAAGGCAAUGAUCUAUAGCUGAUCUGAGAGGAUGAUCAGCCACACUGGAACUGAGAUACGGUCCAGACUCCUACGGGAGGCAGCAGUGGGGAAUAUUGGACAAUGGGCGAAAGCCUGAUCCAGCCAUGCCGCAUGAGUGAAGAAGGCCUUUGGGUUGUAAAGCUCUUUUAGUGAGGAAGAUAAUGACGGUACUCGCAGAAGAAGUCCUGGCUAACUCCGUGCCAGCAGCCGCGGUAAUACGGAGAGGGCUAGCGUUAUUCGGAAUUAUUGGGCGUAAAGGGCGCGUAGGCUGGUUAGUAAGUUAAAAGUGAAAUCCCGAGGCUUAACCUUGGAACUGCUUUUAAAACUGCUAACCUAGAGAUUGAAAGAGGAUAGAGGAAUUCCUAGUGUAGAGGUGAAAUUCGUAAAUAUUAGGAGGAACACCAGUGGCGAAGGCGUCUAUCUGGUUCAAAUCUGACGCUGAGGCGCGAAGGCGUGGGGAGCAAACAGGAUUAGAUACCCUGGUAGUCCACGCUGUAAACGAUGAAUGUUAAAUAUGGGAAGUUUACUUUCUGUAUUACAGCUAACGCGUUAAACAUUCCGCCUGGGGACUACGGUCGCAAGAUUAAAACUCAAAGGAAUUGACGGGGACCCGCACAAGCGGUGGAGCAUGUGGUUUAAUUCGAUGCAACGCGAAAAACCUUACCACUCCUUG